rnacentral:rRNA from 1 species
CGCGAAGAACCUUACCAGCCCUUGACAUUUGGUGCUACUUCCAGAGAUGGAAGGUUCCCUUCGGGGACGCCAGGACAGGUGCUGCAUGGCUGUCGUCAGCUCGUGUCGUGAGAUGUUGGGUUAAGUCCCGCAACGAGCGCAACCCUCGCCCUUAGUUGCCAGCAUUCAGUUGGGCACUCUAGGGGGACUGCCGGUGAUAAGCCGAGAGGAAGGUGGGGAUGACGUCAAGUCCUCAUGGCCCUUACGGGCUGGGCUACACACGUGCUACAAUGGCGGUGACAGUGGGCAGCGAACUCGCGAGAGGGAGCUAAUCUCCAAAAGCCGUCUCAGUUCGGAUUGUUCUCUGCAACUCGAGAGCAUGAAGUUGGAAUCGCUAGUAAUCGCG